AUUGAACGCUGGCGGCAGGCCUAACACAUGCAAGUCGAACGAGUGGCGGACGGGUGAGUAAUGUCUGGGAAACUGCCCGAUGGAGGGGGAUAACUACUGGAAACGGUAGCUAAUACCGCAUACCAUCGGAUGUGCCCAGCUGGGCUUAGCUAGUAGGGGGGGUAACGGCUCACCUAGGCGACGAUCCCUAGCUGGGCUGAGAGGAUGACCAGCGACACUGGAACUGAGACACGGUCCAGACUCCUACGGGAGGUAGCAGUGGGGAAUAUUGAACAAUGGGCGCAAGCCUGAUGCAGCCAGGCCGCGUGUAUGAAGAAGGCCUUCGGGUUGUAAAGUACGUUCAGCGAUGAGGCGUUACUCGCAGAAGAAGCACCGGCUAACUCCGUGCCAGCAGCCGCGGUAAUAC
rnacentral:rRNA from 1 species